UACGUAGGUGGCAAGCGUUGUCCGGAUUUACUGGGCGUAAAGGAUGCGUAGGCGGACAUUUAAGUCAGAUGUGAAAUACCCGAGCUUAACUUGGGUGCUGCAUUUGAAACUGGGUGUCUAGAGUGCAGGAGAGGUAAGUGGAAUUCCUAGUGUAGCGGUGAAAUGCGUAGAGAUUAGGAAGAACACCAGUGGCGAAGGCGACUUACUGGACUGUAACUGACGCUGAGGCAUGAAA
rnacentral:rRNA from 1 species